UCGAGAGGCUUCGUCAAUGGGGGAAACCCUGAACGAGCGACGCCGCGUGGGCGAUGAAGGCCUUCGGGUUGUAAAGCCCUGUCGUGCGGGAAGAAAGAUCCAACGGCAAACAGUCGGGGGAUCUCGACGGUACCGCAAAAGGAAGCUCCGGCUAACUCCGUGCCAGCAGCCGCGGUAAUACGGGGGGAGCAAACGUUGUUCGGAAUUACUGGGCGUAAAGGGCGCGUAGGCGGUCUCGUAAGUGAGAUGUGAAAGCUCCUGGCUCAACCAGGGAACUGCGUCUCAUACUGCGGGGCUUGAGUGCAGGAGAGGAUGGGGGAAUUCCCGGUGUAGCGGUGAAAUGCAUUGAUAUCGGGAGGAACACCAGUGGCGAAGGCGCCCAUCUGGCCUGCUACUGACGCUGAGGCGCGAAAGCUGGGGGAGCAAACAGGAUUAGAUACCCUGGUAGUCCCAGCUGUAAACGGUGGGCACUAGGUGUGGGGGGCAUCGACCCCUCCCGUGCCGCAGCUAACGCAUUAAGUGCCCCGCCUGGGGAGUACGACCGCAAGGUUG
rnacentral:rRNA from 1 species